ACAUGCAAGUCGAGGGGCAGCAUAAUGGAUAGCAAUAUCUAUGGUGGCGACCGGCGCACGGGUGCGUAACGCGUAUGCAACCUACCUUUAACAGGGGGAUAACACUGAGAAAUUGGUACUAAUACCCCAUAAUAUCAUAGAAGGCAUCUUUUAUGGUUGAAAAUUCCGAUGGUUAGAGAUGGGCAUGCGUUGUAUUAGCUAGUUGGUGGGGUAACGGCUCACCAAGGCGACGAUACAUAGGGGGACUGAGAGGUUAACCCCCCACACUGGUACUGAGACACGGACCAGACUCCUACGGGAGGCAGCAGUGAGGAAUAUUGGUCAAUGGACGCAAGUCUGAACCAGCCAUGCCGCGUGCAGGAUGACGGCUCUAUGAGUUGUAAACUGCUUUUGUACGAGGGUAAACGCAGAUACGUGUAUCUGUCUGAAAGUAUCGUACGAAUAAGGAUCGGCUAACUCCGUGCCAGCAGCCGCGGUAAUACGGAGGAUUCAAGCGUUAUCCGGAUUUAUUGGGUUUAAAGGGUGCGUAGGCGGUUUGAUAAGUUAGAGGUGAAAUUUCGGGGCUCAACCCUGAACGUGCCUCUAAUACUGUUGAGCUAGAGAGUAGUUGCGGUAGGCGGAAUGUAUGGUGUAGCGGUGAAAUGCUUAGAGAUCAUACAGAACACCGAUUGCGAAGGCAGCUUACCAAACUAUAUCUGACGUUGAGGCACGAAAGCGUGGGGAGCAAACAGGAUUAGAUACCCUGGUAGUCCACGCAGUAAACGAUGAUAACUCGUUGUCGGCGAUACACAGUCGGUGACUAAGCGAAAGCGAUAAGUUAUCCACCUGGGGAGUACGUUCGCAAGAAUGAAACUCAAAGGAAUUGACGGGGGCCCGCACAAGCGGAGGAACAUGUGGUUUAAUUCGAUGAUACGCGAGGAACCUUACCCGGGCUUGAAAGUUAGCGACGAUUCUUGAAAGAGGAUUUCCCUU
rnacentral:rRNA from 1 species